rnacentral:lncRNA from 1 species
UUUUUUCCUACGUGGUAAGGGGUCAAACCCUUUCUUCCAAGAAGGGCCCCCUCUUAAUAUUCAACAAUGUUAAGAAGGCAAACUUCCAUGAAAAAAAAAAUCAAGGUAUUCUUACUUUUAGCCUUCAAGGAGAAAGCUAUCUAAUGGGAAAAAAAAAAAAAAACCCACAAAAAACUUUCUGAUAAAGGCCAAAAAUGUAAUUAAAAUUCUUGACAUCCAGUAUGAACAGGAGCUGAUAAAGAGCCUUUUUAGUAAAUAUUUUCCCUUAGGACCCACAAAGGAACCUGGCAUUACUCCCUGCUCUGCUUUGGGAAGAUGUAAUUAAAGUAGAAGGGGAGCUUCUGAAUAAAACAGGCAAUGUGUGAAACCUUACAGGUUUGAGGAAGAAAAAUCUGUUUCAUAUUCAUUUCCCUGUAGUGUAUGGAGCAGAGGCUUUGCUUACAAAAGAAGCCACUAUACCAACUGCAUGAGCAGGGAAAUUUGUUCUAGGAAAUAAAUAGAAGUAUGCAGAAGUUCUCAGGAGAAAUGGCGUGGUAUCAGCUACUCUCUAGACAUUGUUAAAUUCUGGAUGUUUUUUUCAGGACUGAAUAUGGAGAUCAGUACCACAACAUAUGUGAAACAAGGUAGCUUGGCAGUACUAGUGGUACAAAUCAGGCCUUUGUAUGUGCUCUUGGAGGUUCAUUUCAUGUUCUCAGACAUGUCAAAGUGUUGUGCUGCCUGGUAGGAAAGGAUUUAGUUGCUUGAUCUCCCCAGGGGGUAGUGUUCACUUACAGUGAACUCACAUCACCACAGGUGCUUAAAUCUUGGCAUUAGUGUAACUUCAAGUAAAAUUUUGAAAAACCCUCAGCUUACAGUCAUCUGUGCUUAGAAAAGAGGUGGAAAUCAAAGAAACUUGAACAAAUUUUCUAUGUACUGGAGGCUGAGUAGAGCAGAGAUGUUCAAAUUAAUGCAUGUGUAAGGUAGUCAUUAAUAUAAUAUUUUAUUUGGCAGGCUAAUACCUAGCAUGCAUGGGCUAGCAGUCAACAUGUAUGCAGAGCCAGAGAAUCAUCUAGGUUAGAAAAGACCUUCGAAGUCAUCAAGUCCAACCAUCAGCCUGACUUACUGAGUCCCAUUGCUAAACCACGUCUUUUAGCACCAUGUUCACUUCUUUCAUACCAGGGACUGGGACUCCACCACCUCUGGUAAUAGCACACACCACCCAGCCCCAUGGGGAUGCUAAAAUUGAUGUGGAGAUGAGCUCUGAGUGUAAUCUGGUAGAGAAGUGUUGGUAGGGAGGAAAGGGGCAGAAGUAAGCGUGUGGGAUUUGAGGAGGGGACUUCAUCAGUGGGGAAGCAAACUCCUGGUUCUGCUGCUUGUGGUAUGUGAUGUCUGGAGGCAUUACAUCCCAUAGCUGCUAUCCUGCUGUACCAUGUAUAUUAUUUAUUCACUUAUUUUGUUCAUCCUCCCUUCUCUGCUGUUCAGUGCGAAGAUCAGUAGUGAUUACUUCCUGAGCAGUUAGUUAACGCCUUUUUUCUUCUCAUCAUGUAAGAAGCAGCCAUGGUCUCAUUUACAGUAUGCUAUUCAGAUGCUCUUUUUUGUUUUCAGAAUUACUCAUUUUAUCAUGAAUUCUGCAGCCCUCUUUGCCAUGAUCUAAGACUACUUAACAGUGCUCUAUGAGGCUAGGUAAAAGUGUGAUCAUUAGGCUGAACUGCGAAGUCAUCUCUGUCACAUCAGUGGCAAACUGAGAAACAGCUUGAAAUUAUCUACUAAUUUUUGUGGUCAUUGAGGUACUCUUCCGCACUGCUUAUCAGACCACAGCAUUAGGUACAGGUUGCAUUCACUGCUCCUGUUGACCUCAGUUUCAGGUUUUGGCGUGCUGAAUUAGACACGAAAGAAGAACUGUGUAAAUACUGAUGCAUUUAAAAAAAAACUGGUUUGAGUGACAUAGCAACUUGCAACAGGACAGUGGAACAACUCAGCAGGUGGGAGCCUCAUCACCAGGAGAGGUCCCAGAGUGUGAGGGGAUUUUGUCCACAAAGUCAGUAUGAGGGGGCAGGGAGGUGCGGCUUUGAGGAAGAGAGAGAGAGAGGUAGAGUAGUAUCAGUCUUGCUUGAAGUUGGAGUGCUGGAUUUUGCAGGGGGGAAUGGGACUGCCUUGAGGCUGUGGUGCAGGGUGGCAUGAGGAACAAUGUACGUAUUUGCUUCUGUGCCUUCUGUCUUCUCAGCCAUUCAGACACUGAGUGUGUACUGACUCCCCUAGCAGUGUUUUCCAUUCUGUGUGACAAGUGCCUGCUCCUCAUUUUCAGCCUUCUCACUCCAGCUUCUCACUAGCUCUGUAUUUUGUUCUUUGUUCCCUCUGACCUGAAUUGUUUGGCCAUUAGUUCUCAGAUGUUGCCACAUGGGGUUUUUGAAGUCUGGAAAGUCAAACCAAUCUCUAAUAAAGAGAUUACCUCUCUGCUGAGUUUUCAC